GCACAAGCGUGGAGCAUGUGGUUUAAUUCGAAGCAACGCGAAGAACCUUACCAGGUCUUGACAUCCCGAUGCUAUUUCUAGAGAUAGAAAGUUACUUCGGUACAUCGGUGACAGGUGGUGCAUGGUUGUCGUCAGCUCGUGUCGUGAGAUGUUGGGUUAAGUCCCGCAACGAGCGCAACCCCUAUUGUUAGUUGCCAUCAUUCAGUUGGGCACUCUAGCGAGACUGCCGGUAAUAAACCGGAGGAAGGUGGGAUGACGUCAAAUCAUCAUGCCCCUUAUGACCUGGGCUACACACGUGCUACAAUGGUUGGUACAACGAGUUGCGAGUCGGUGACGGCGAGCUAAUCUCUUAAAGCCAAUCUCAGUUCGGAUUGCAGGCUGCAACUCGCCUACAUGAAGUCGGAAUCGCUAGUAAUCGCGGAUCAGCACGCCGCGGUGAAUACGUUCCCGGGCCUU
rnacentral:rRNA from 1 species